UACGGAGGGGGCUAGCGUUGUUCGGAAUUACUGGGCGUAAAGCGCACGUAGGCGGCUUUGUAAGUUAGAGGUGAAAGCCCGGGGCUCAACUCCGGAAUUGCCUUUAAGACUGCAUCGCUAGAAUUGUGGAGAGGUAAGUGGAAUUCCGAGUGUAGAGGUGAAAUUCGUAGAUAUUCGGAAGAACACCAGUGGCGAAGGCGACACACUGGGCCAUUACUGACGCUGAGGCGGCGAAAGCGUGGGGAGCAAACAGG
rnacentral:rRNA from 1 species